rnacentral:rRNA from 1 species
UACGUAGGGCGCAAGCGUUGUCCGGAAUUAUUGGGCGUAAAGAGCUCGUAGGCGGUUUGUCGCGUCUGCUGUGAAAACCUAAGGCUCAACCUUGGGCUUGCAGUGGGUACGGGCAGACUAGAGUGAUGUAGGGGAGACUGGAAUUCCUGGUGUAGCGGUGAAAUGCGCAGAUAUCAGGAGGAACACCGAUGGCGAAGGCAGGUCUCUGGGCAUUAACUGACGCUGAGGAGCGGAAAGCAUGGGGAGCGAACAGG